rnacentral:lncRNA from 1 species
CAUCUGUUCAUGGGUCCUACUCGCUUCAUAUCCUCUUCCUUGUAGGCAAAGGUCCUGGGGCAAUGCAGAGGGAGAGAAAAACACACACUUGAUGGGAACAGAGCCAGAUCAAUUCUGGCUCUCAGGGCUUCUGCUCCUGAAACUUGCUAUCAGACCCCCACCUCCGACAGGGUGUUGAUGGCCGCUAGGCAGAGAUGAAGUCUUGCCUCACACAAGGCACUGGCUCUAGCCCCUUCAUAUGCAGCCCCAUCACCUGCCAAGGCUGUAGUAAGCAGGAAAGACAUGUAUCUACAUCAAGUCUGUACUAUCAUCAAAGGUACUGGACACACACAGCCCAUAUAAGGAAGCUCACAUGUAAGAACCUCAAAAGGCCAAGGGUUCUGACUGUAAACAACAGAAUUAUUUUCAUGAUCUGAUAAAGACAGCGGAUACUUCACUAGUGCUGCUGCUUUGACUGCAUGACUUUGCCAGAGAACAAACUAAAGGUUAACAUUGAAUACAUCGGCUCAGAUGGAGGAGACCGAACCUUGAUGUAUCCUGUCCUGCCCUCUUUUUCUACCAAUGGCUAAAUAUGAUGGCUCCGCAAUAGGUGUUG